GCUUUUAAAAUAAAACAUGUCAACAUGUGUAUGUUUAACAAAUGCAAGGGAUAGAAAGAAAUGAAUGAAUUGUUGCCACACAACUAAGAUGGCGAAACCCUGCUAAGGAGCCAGACGAGUUAAAGUUCAGGUUUUGGUUUAGUUUUGUAAAUGUGAUGAUUCAUGAGGAGUUAUGCUAGAGCAGAAACACUGGUGCCAAGGCUUUCCUUAGAAAAAGUACAUGGUGUCAUCAGCUGUUUGAGGCAACAUAGCGUUGCAUGAAGGGUGCUUUUAUAAAGGAGGUGAUUAGGAACAGCCGGCUCCUACCGGCUAACAAGGAACUGGUCCUGUUAUCUGGUAAAGAGAAUACCAGGAUCAUUCAGAUCUGAUCCCUCAAGCUGCUUUCAGAGGUUGUUCAAAGUCUGUUCAUCCAUUUUUGUUUAGCAGUCAACACAUGAACGUGUCUGAGCCACCACUGACCUGAUGUGACUCUUAAGUGGGGUUACAACUUUUAUCUAUCUCCCAGCUAUAGAAAAAUGGGAGAACAUGUUAACAUAGCAGCUAUGUGCUAACUUCAUGCAAUACCUGUCACGGUCCGUGGUGAGCCUCCUGCAUGUAACCUGUUUUCUCUGAGCAUUGUUUCAGGUGGGCGUGUCUGAGAGCCACCAGCUGCAGCCAAUCCUGUCAUCACGGUCUUCACUUCGCCGGAUGAUUGCUCAGUUUUGGGUAGCUCUAGCCUCUGACCCGUAUUGAUCUUGUGUUUUUCUAGUUCCAGUCUGUGUACCAGAUCUUGUAAAUUAUUUGCUGGAUUUCCUGUCGACCAGAAAAGACCCUGACUACUCUUCCCUGCUCUGCUCCAGGUUUCACUCCACACUCCACUAUCUCCAUACCAGCUCGGAUUCCUGCACUUCAGAUCACGCUGUCUCCUCCCCUGGCCGCCCGCUCUCAGCCGCUCACCUGCCCUCAUCAAGCCUCUGCUCCUACCUCCUCUCUGGUUCAACAGUUCCUUCACCUUCUGGAGCCUUCCUGCUCACCUGGACCUGACCUAGCCCUUCCUGAGGCUCUCACCACUAUCUGCUAUCAGUGGGUCAGCAGGAGUCUCUCCCGGACCUGCAAGCUGGAGCAACAGGUCUACCCUCGUUGAUGACUGACGAGUGACGUUUUCACAAGAACAGGGCAGGAAAGAGCUUUUAACCUAAGAUCUUAGUCAUUCAUGACCACACAUCUCUGAAACUGUUCUGUAGUUUCCUCUCCAACUUAUUCCUGUACAGUAUCUAGCAGUGGCGGACUGGUGAUCGGGAGUAACGGGAGAAUUCCCGGUGGCCUGGCAGUUAAUCUGGCCUGCCCAGUGAUUACAAAUGGCUAAAUGAACAGUUCGUCGUGCAGCUCAUCAGGGCAUCUGCUGUCCUGACGCUCACAUAUUCAAACGGACCUAACUGGGCACAAAGAUACCCCCCAGAACUGAGCUGAUGAAGAAUUAAAUGUUUCAAAAUGUGUUUUUUUUAUCAACAGAAUUAUGCGGAACCUGAACUGAAUUGUCCUAGCCAUAACUGAAAUUUUUUUUGAAAUUCAACUUUGAUGCUGGUUUAUUUACAAAAAUGAACAAAAUUCUGAUGGUAGGAACAUCUUUCCAAACUAACAGCUACCAGGUUUUGCAUAAUUCCAGCUUCUCGGUGGUGAAAAGAAGAAGAAAAACCAUAAGAAGAGAAAUUCUCAUCUGUUCACACCACCAGUUCUGCCCCACCAGCAAGUAACAUCAUUCCUUCGAAGCCAGAGGGGAGCCGUACAAAGAAAGAUUAAUGGCUUAACCAGCUGAGCUGAGCUGGAAUAGAGAGGUCUUCAUGUGAGCUGGAGUCAUAACCUUCUCACGAGCUGUUUACGUUCAGGGUUAAGCUUUAAAUUGUCUGGCACUGACUUUCUCUCCUAAGUACCCCGACAGAAAAAUAAGAUGGAAAGUGUUUAUACUGCAGGCACAUUGGACACUGAUGCCUGAGUUUUAUAACCAACUUAAAAGUUUUAGAUUUAUAUUUAAUAAAUGUUGGAUUACAAGAAAAAUAAAAAACAAAACCAAAAAGA